GCUGCUGGGUCCCUGGGGCUGACCCCACUCCUCACCCGCCCCGUGGUAUGCGGCCCCACGGGAGGACCUCAGGAAGCUCGGACCGUGGCUGAACAACAAAGCGUUUGACUUUCGGGGGCCGCCGGGUCGGGAAAUUAGUGAGGCCGAUCAGGAAAGUCAGUCUGGCUUGCCUCGUGCUUGCCAUCAAGUCUGUGGCACUUUGUGAGAACAGCAACAGAAAAUGAAUGUACCGGGUGACACGUCUCCGAGAAGAGCUCUCCAGGUGCACGGGGCCAGGGAUGGACACGGAGCCGCAGGAGAGGUCUGUGAGCUCGCAGGUCCUGGAGCCUUCGGGCCUGCGUGCCGGCGCGGCGGGACCCCAGCAGCUCCGCGCAGAGAAGGGCGCUCGCUGUCUCACCUGCCCGGCUAGCUGGCGUGUGAGCCUCCGGCUUGAACCGCUCCCUACAGGCUCUGGGGGCAGGUGCAGCAGGUGCUCAUGGUCUAGAGGACCACCCAGCGAGGCGAACACCUAUUUCAUGCAACUGAGAGCUGAACAAACUGGAACAUUCGUGAACCAGGAGUCUGGGUGAUGGACUGUCAUCUGAGGAUGGAUUUUUAGGGAGUCUUUAGAGCCCUGUGCAUAUUUUUGGACACCUGCACAAGAUGCCCCGUGUGCAGAACGAUUUAGUAGAAAGCAUUUUGGCCUGAAAAUUAAGUUGGAAUUCUCCUGAGUUACUACUACCUUGGAGCUGACAUCGGGCAGCCCUGUGUGCUCCCCAGCUAUGCUGAGGAAUAUUUGACAAUCGAACCUAGUCGUACUUUUCAAAAUGAAAAGCCAGUAACUUGGGAAUACGUGAAAAGAUGCUCCUCUUCCCUGAUUCACAAAUGCACAUCAGAUCGAGAUGCCCUUCUCUACCAAUCACACUGGCCAAGACGAGCCAGUUUGGCCAACCGUGGUAGUGACAGGGUUGUGAAGAAGUAGGGUUCUCUACCACUGUUGGUGGUGGGCCUCAGACUUGCGUAAUUUGGUCCAGAUUUCAUUUUAUUUGGUUGGUAAUUUUACAUCGAAUAUCAUCGUCACAAGGGCAUACAUUUUGAGGCUUCCAUUUCUAAAUCUGGGGAUAUAUCCUGCAAAUAUACUCUGGCAACGCGAGCAAAGACGGUGAGCAAGGUUGUUCACUUUACAGCAGAAUGGAAUAUUAUGCUGCCAUUGAAAUGAGUAAGGCACAUUUUGUACGGACAAUAUGACAUGAUAUUUGAUUUAAACGAAAAGGCAAAAACUCGGGAUGAUGAUACACAUCUAUUCUUUGCAAAGAGGUAUUUGUAGGUGUUUGUGUAUAUGAAAAAAUUUGUGGAUGAAUGUAUAGAAAACCAUAGACUGUUGUUACGUCUGGAGAGCGUGGGGCUCUAUGUAACGGGUGGCAAGUCCUCUGGAGAUGGUAUGACAUUUGGAGUGACCAAACUUGCUCACUAUGGGGCACACGGGAUUUUUUCAUUUAAGAAAGGCAGCCCCUCCCACCAACAAAAAUCUAACCCCUCGUGGGCUCUUGUGAACAUCACGUUGGAUAAACUCAAUUCUCGAUUCCAUAAACUCUUAGACGCAUUGAUAAUGUUCCAGCCACUGGCUAAAUAUAUGUAAAAACUGCUUCACAAACUGCUAACCGCCAUAAAAACCGACCGCAAAUGAUUUAUUUCAGAUAGCACGGCUAAUUAACCCAAUAUUUAUAAGAACCAACUUCCAUUUAGAAGAAGGAAGCUUCCAGAACAUCAGGACUCAUGGCAAAUAAACAGUCAGGGUUAUUUUAUUGAGUGCCAGAUUUCAGCAAUACAGAAUCACAACGUUAAAAAGCACACGCAACAACUCCCUCCAAAUCCUCCCAGAAAGCCAGAAAGCCAGAAAACGGUGUGAAGAACCUUGAGUUGCUGGGAGAGACGGUACCUGUCACAAGGCCGGUGACAGAGGCAGGCGGGGCAGGGAGAAGGCUCUGGGCCAGCCGGCUGAAGAGCAAGGGACAGGCGUCCUUUCUCAGGGGAGCCUUCAUGCCACCUUCACUCUUUGACUCAUCCUCACUGUGACCUCUCGGCUUGCAGAUGUUGAAAGAUGUUGUACGUGUUCUGUUAUGGCAUUAAAUAACGUCUGCGCCGAGCGCCCGCCCUUCCUGCGACGCCUGCGGUCCUGUGGCAGCGACGCCUUCCCGCCUUCCCGCCUUCCAUCUCCCCAGCAGCCCGGUGUCCUGAAGCUAUCAGGCAAGCCUCCUUAGCUUAGAUCUGUGCUGCAGCCAGCUGGCCCGACGGCUUUAUGUGAGAGCUUCUUCUGGGGUUGUAGGAAAUGGGCUAGAGUGUGUGGCCUAAUGACCCUGCGGGGCUGUGGCCGGUGCCGAUUUCAAGUGCGAGUGAACACAUCGGUGAACCAGCUCUCCCACGACAGCUCCAAGGAGGUAGACGAGGAUGCGACUUCUCAGAGUCCAAAAGGCGCUACACUGCCCUUCAGGAGUCUACACUGCAGGAGGCGUGCCCGCCGCCCAGUUGCUGCCCAGGGCGAGGCAAGACAGGCUGCCCCAGAAGCAGGAGGCCCACUGACCCUACUCACCUGGCAGCGCUCUCUGCAGGGCCACAGGCCUGGGCUCAAGUCCCAGCUCCGGUGCUUAGUGCUACUAGUCCCCCCGCUUGGGGGGGUCCGUGCAGCCUUUCUGUGCCUUAGUUUUC